rnacentral:rRNA from 1 species
GACGAACGCUGGCGGCGUGCUUAACACAUGCAAGUCGAACGGAAAGGCCCUGCUUUUGUGGGGUGCUCGAGUGGCGAACGGGUGAGUAACACGUGAGUAACCUGCCCUUGACUUUGGGAUAACUUCAGGAAACUGGGGCUAAUACCGGAUAGGAGCUCCUGCUCCAUGGUGGGGGUUGGAAAGUUUCGGCGGUUGGGGAUGGACUCGCGGCUUAUCAGCUUGUUGGUGGGGUAGUGGCUUACCAGGGCUUUGACGGGUAGCCGGCCUGGGAGGGUGACCGGCCACAUUGGGACUGAGAUACGGCCCAGACUCCUACGGGAGGCAGCAGUGGGGAAUAUUGCACAGUGGGCGGAAGCCUGAUGCAGCAACGCCGCGUGCGGGAUGACGGCCUUCGGGUUGUAAACCGCUGUCGCCUGUGACGAAGCGUGAGUGACGGUAAUGGGUAAAGAAGCACCGGCUAACUACGUG